UCCAGGUUUCUUGUCUCUAGUCUCCUCACCCUUGAAGAUGAGAGGCAGCCCAGGCCAGAGCCUCAACGUGUCCACCUCAGCAUGUCUCAUAAGAAGACAAUAGAGCAGGAAAGCCAUGUCUUUUGGAAGUUGGUUCUCUCUUUCCACCACAAUACCUGUGGCUCCCAGUUAUUGAGCUCAGGUCAUCAGACUUGGUGGCAAGUGCUUUUACCCACUGAGCCACAUCACCAGUCCCCACCUCGUUUGCCAUAGAGCAGAAAACCCUCACCUGCCAGUGACAAAGCUCAUCAUACCUUGGCAGAAAGAACUGGAUGUGUGGUUUCCAAAACAAUUUACCUCUACUGGAACAAGGAAAUAAACAAAGAAAAAAGGAUGAUAUGGAAUCCAGGAAACCGAAGACGUAACACAGGCCAGAGAUGAAGGGAUGGUGGAAAGAAAUUCCAGAGCAACAUCUGUACAGCAGACAUGGAGAACCACCAGGCCAGACUGGAGCCAGAGGACAGAGAAAUCUGGGAGAGUUGUCCCCAGGAGGGCAGACAUGCAGCAAUAACAUUGAUGAAUUUCCUCAUACACUUGGUCUUGUGAAAAAUUGUACCAUUAGAGACAGAGAGAUUUAGCAGUAGAUAGACACUGAGCAAAUGAAAACAAAAAAGACACAGUUAGGUACAGGAAAAAUUAAAACAUUGAACAUACAUUGUAUACUCCUGGUUUAUCAGAUAACAAAAUGUAUACAGUAUACAAAGUAAUAAAGUAAAUGUUAUUAUAAAAACAAAUUUAAUCCAAAGUUAGUGAUUUUGGUGGCUGGCAACAGGAGGGAGGAGAUUUUAGAGGUAAGUAAUCAGGUAUCAUAAUAGAAAAUUAAUCAUUAGAGCCGAGGGUGGAUUUUCAGUGACAGAGCAUUUACUUGAUUGACUUGUUCCAGGCCUGGGUUUGAUUCCCAGAACCACAAAAAGAAAAAACGGGGGGGGGGAGGGGUGCAGUGGGGGGGCAGUCAUUCAUUACUAUCUCAAGAGAGAGGACUAUAAACAUGAAAAUAUAUUCCAAAACAAAACAAACAAAUAAGAGCUGUAUUUGAAGCCAUGAAGUAGUGGCACACGCCCAUAAUCCUAGCACUCAGGAGGCAGAGACAGGCCGAUCUCUGUGAGUUCAAGGACAGCCUGGUCUACAGAGUGAGUUCCAGGACAGCCAGGACUGUUUCACAGAGAAACCCUGUCUCAAAGCAACAACAAAAAUAACAACAAAAGAACUGUAUUUGUAGAACUGCACUGGAGUUGUUACUUGUAGUACUAAAUGCAGAGUUUUUCAGAGCAGUGCAAGAUACCAAUUGUGAGUUUAUGAUUGCUGUUUGACUUAUGACAUUAUGUGCUCAUUUCAAUUGAACAAAAGCUUAAAUUAAAGGACUAGAGAUGUAGUUAGGUGGUACAGUGCUUGACUAGGGUGUGCAAGGCCCUGGGUUCAAUCCCCAAUAUCAAUAAAAUAAACAUUAAAGUGUGCCUUCAGAUUAAAA